GAUGAAGAACGUAGCGAAAUGCGAUACGUAAUGUGAAUUGCAAAUUCAGUGAAUCAUCGAGUCUUUGAACGCACAUUGCGCCCCCUGGUAUUCCGGGGGGCAUGCCUGUCCGAGCGUCAUUGCUGCCCUCAAGCACGGCUUGUGUGUUGGGCCCCGUCCUCCGAUCCCGGGGGACGGGCCCGAAAGGCAGCGGCGGCACCGCGUCCGGUCCUCGAGCGUAUGGUGCUUUGUCACCCGCUCUGUAGGCCCGGCCGGCGCUUGCCGAUCAACCCAAAUUUUUAUCCAGGUUGACCUCGGAUCAGGUAGGGAUACCCGCUGAACUUAAGCAUAUCAAUAAGCGGAGGA
rnacentral:misc_RNA from 1 species